rnacentral:rRNA from 1 species
GACGAACGCUGGCGGCGUGCUUAACACAUGUAAGUCGAACGGUGAAGCGAGUGCUUGCACUCGUGGAUCAGUGGCGAACGGGUGGGUAACACGUGAGUAACCUGCCCAUCACUCUGGGAUAAGGACUGGAAACGGUGUCUAAUACUGGAUACGACCAACCCUUGCAUGGGGUGUUGGUGGAAAGAUUUAUCGGUGAUGGAUGGACUCGCGGCCUAUCAGCUUGUUGGCGGGGUAAUGGCCCACCAAGGCGACGACGGGUAGCCGGCCUGAGAGGGUGACCGGCCACACUGGGACUGAGACACGGCCCAGACUCCUACGGGAGGCAGCAGUGGGGAAUAUUGCACAAUGGGCGAAAGCCUGAUGCAGCGACGCCGCGUGAGGGAUGACGGCCUUCGGGUUGUAAACCUCUUUCAGCAGGGAAGAAGCGAAAGUGACGGUACCUGCAGAAGAAGCACCGGCUAACUACGUG